AAAGUGAAUGAUGUGGUUCCCUGGGUGUUGGACACAAUUUUAAAUAAGCACAUUAUCAGCCCUGUCCCCCAUGUGAGGCAGGCUGCCUGCCUCUGGCUCCUUUCUCUAGUGAAGAAGCUGAGUAGUCAUAAAGAAAUCAAGUCUCAUCUCAAGGAGAUUCAAAGUGCAUUUGUUUCAAUUCUGUCAGAUAAUGAUGAACUCAGCCAGGAUGUUGCUUCAAAAGGCCUUGGUUUGGUUUAUGAACUGGGCAGUGAACAAGAUCAACAGGAACUGGUGUCCACGCUUGUCGACACAUUGAUGACUGGGAAAAGGUG